rnacentral:lncRNA from 1 species
UUGAACAUACAUUGUUGUGUAUUCAUUGCUUGUUCCUGGCAUAAAUCUUAAAAGUUGGAAUGAUAGUUCCAAAACAAUGGUGAAAGAUUGUAGUAUGCAGGCCAGAAGCAUUCAAUUGGCCAAUGAAGAGUAUCCAGCACGAUUUUGUGCUUUUUUGUAAACAGUAAUAAAUAGAGUUAAAAAAAAGCCUUACCUAAACAAGAAAGGCCAGACUAACAUGCUGGUGUGAACCUUGUUGAAGCAACUUUCCUUUAGUCAGCAACACAGCAAGAAGCAACUUUGCUUUAAAUGAUUUUUAGUCUGUACAAUAUACACCAAUUUUGAAUUUAGCCCUUAUAACAAUUUCUUACUAGUUUUAAUCCUUUAAACAUAAGAAAAGCUGUUUUUGGUCCUUGUUGUUUUGGAUUUAGUCACUAUAUUGUCCAUAUCAUAUCAGAUUUAAUCAUUGUAAAAUGUGAACUAUAUUGAUUUAUGUCCUUGGAAUAAGGACAAUAUAGAGAGUUACAAACAUAGAUAAAUAUUUUCUUUUUUGGUACAUAAACAUAGAUAAAUCUUACAAGAGCUAAAACAAACAAAAAAGGACCAAAAGCAAAUUUUCAAUGUUUCAAGACAAUCUUGUUAUGGACUAAACUAGAAAAGGUGUAUAUCACAGGGACCAAAAUUUCAUUUAAGCCGUUUUCAUUUGACAACAUGUAACCUUAUGCUUACUAAAAGUUGAUUUUCACAAUCACAAGUGAUUUUCCAAAAAAUUUGCAACCAUCAUAAGUGAAUAUUGGUCUUAAUUAUUUCUUGAAUCUAACCCAAAACACACAUUCCUCAACCCCCUCGUAUCAAAAUUAACAAUGCCAGAACUAGCGAUGCAUGCUUCUAGCUUGGCAAUUCUAUCCUUUAAAUUUAUGAAUGAAACAAAAAAAAAAAUUGAAACCCAAACACACAAAGAACUUUAGAUUUCUGAUCUGUUUUUUUUUAACAAGCAGAUUUCUGAUCUUUAAUUACAGGAAUGAAAUGACAUGGAGAUGAGGGUGAAUAAACAAAUGUAAAAAGGACAAAAUUUUUUUUUGAAAACUUGGUAUCCGGCCUUAGGACCGACUAAUCCAAGGGGACCAAUCUCACCGCCCACUUGCGAGGGCCCCAUUUAAAGCCAGGGUUUUUUUUUGCUCUGUAUGGACUUAGCCCACCGAAAUUGGCACCAGUGAGAAUCGAACCUGAGACCUUGAGAGGAGCAUACUCCAAGGGCCCAAGCCAACACCACUCGACCAACCCCAAGUGGGUUAAAAAGGACAAAAUUGACACUCAACAUAAGCACUUGAUACGUCUAAUGUUCUUAUCAAUGAAUUAACCACAAAUUUAACAAGAAAGCAAAAAAUCUAACAAGGCUAUAAUGCAGCUUAUAGCAACAAAACCCUAAAAAUUAGGUUUUCUCUAUCCCCUAAUUGCUAAUCUGAAGCUACAAUUUGGAAAUUUUCUCACUUGAACAACCAACUUACAAAAGUGGAGGAUCAACUUAGAAAUUUAUGCACAGAGAGUAAACUUAAUGAAACCAUAAAAAAUUAUCUAACCAUUCUUUCUAAGCAAUAAACUUUGUUACUAUAAAAUUUUCGUGCAACCAACCAAGCAACAUAGAACUUAAUCCAAUGUAAAAAAGAUUAUAACUUUAAGAAUCAUAGGUUAUUAUAACAAAAAGGGUUGUUGCUGUUAGUGAUAACUGAGUUUUGAUUCAUUGAGGACUUUUCACAAACACAUUAAUGCAUAAACGAAAUUCUAGAGAAGUUGAAGUUUAGCUUAGUAAAAGGAGAAGGAAAAUCUCAUCUUUGAGUUGAAUCAAGAACUGGUUGAAUCUUGGGACAUGGUGGUGGAGACAAAAUCACAAUGAAUGAUGAUGUUAGUGUUCCGUCCUUGGUAUUGCUCUUUUCGGUGGUGUUUUGUUUCCGUUUAUUUCCCACGUUAGGAAAAAUAUACUAACAAAAAAAUAAAACAGUUUAAAAUGUGGAGUGUGGAGUUUAA